rnacentral:rRNA from 1 species
UACGAAGGGGGCGAGCGUUGUUCGGAAUUACUGGGCGUAAAGCGUGCGUAGGUGGUUUGUUAAGUCUGUUGUGAAAGCCCCGGGCUCAACCUGGGAAUGGCAAUGGAUACUGGCAGGCUAGAGUGCGGUAGAGGGUAGUGGAAUUCCCGGUGUAGCGGUGAAAUGCGUAGAGAUCGGGAGGAACACCAGUGGCGAAGGCGGCUACCUGGACCAGCACUGACGCUGAGGCACGAAAGCGUGGGGAGCAAACAGG